rnacentral:rRNA from 1 species
CCUACGGGAGGCAGCAGUGGGGAAUAUUGGACAAUGGGGGCAACCCUGAUCCAGCCAUGCCGCGUGUGUGAAGAAGGCCCUCGGGUUGUAAAGCACUUUCAGUGAGGAAGAACGCCUGGUGGUUAAUACCCAUCAGGAAGGACAUCACUCACAGAAGAAGCACCGGCUAACUCCGUGCCAGCAGCCGCGGUAAUACGGAGGGUGCGAGCGUUAAUCGGAAUUACUGGGCGUAAAGCGCGCGUAGGUGGCUUGAUAAGCCGGUUGUGAAAGCCCCGGGCUCAACCUGGGAACGGCAUCCGGAACUGUCAAGCUAGAGUGCAGGAGAGGAAGGUAGAAUUCCCGGUGUAGCGGUGAAAUGCGUAGAGAUCGGGAGGAAUACCAGUGGCGAAGGCGGCCUUCUGGACUGACACUGACACUGAGGUGCGAAAGCGUGGGUAGCAAACAGGAUUAGAUACCCUGGUAGUC